rnacentral:rRNA from 1 species
GCCAACGAGCAUACCACGCUGAGUACAUCGGUUCUCGUCCGAUCACCGAAAUUAAGCAGCGUCGGGGAAUCC